UGAGGAAUAUUGGUCAAUGGGCGUGAGCCUGAACCAGCCAAGUCGCGUGAGGGAAGACGGCCCUACGGGUUGUAAACCUCUUUUGUCGGGGAGCAAACGAACCUCGUGAGGUUCAUUGAGAGUACCCGAAGAAAAAGCAUCGGCUAACUCCGUGCCAGCAGCCGCGGUAAUACGGAGGAUGCGAGCGUUAUCCGGAUUUAUUGGGUUUAAAGGGUGCGUAGGCGGAUUGUCAAGUCAGCGGUCAAAUGUCGGGGCCCAACCCCGGCCUGCCGUUGAAACUGGCGAUCUUGAGUGAGUGAGAGGUAUGCGGAAUGCGUGGUGUAGCGGUGAAAUGCAUAGAUAUCACGCAGAACUCCGAUUGCGAAGGCAGCAUACCGGCACUCAACUGACGCUGAGGCACGAAAGCGUGGGUAUCGAACAGG
rnacentral:rRNA from 1 species